GUGCGGUCACAAAAAACAACGUUUUUUGAGCGUUGGCUGUGUCAACGACCCUGACAGGGUGAGCAAACGAGCAGGCGAGUUUGGGAAUAAAAUCAA
rfam:Rodentibacter rarus strain CCTG17206 contig_42, whole genome shotgun sequence.